rnacentral:rRNA from 1 species
UACGAAGGGGGCUAGCGUUGUUCGGAAUCACUGGGCGUAAAGCGCACGUAGGCGGCUUCUUAAGUCAGGGGUGAAAUCCUGGAGCUCAACUCCAGAACUGCCUUUGAUACUGAGGAGCUUGAGUCCGGGAGAGGUGAGUGGAACUCCGAGUGUAGAGGUGAAAUUCGUAGAUAUUCGGAAGAACACCAGUGGCGAAGGCGGCUCACUGGCCCGGUACUGACGCUGAGGUGCGAAAGCGUGGGGAGCAAACAGG